UACGGGGGGGGCAAGCGUUGUUCGGAAUUACUGGGCGUAAAGGGCUCGUAGGUGGCCAACUAAGUCAGACGUGAAAUCCCUCGGCUUAACCGGGGAACUGCGUCUGAUACUGGAUGGCUUGAGUUUGGGAGAGGGACGCGGAAUUCCAGGUGUAGCGGUGAAAUGCGUAGAUAUCAGGAGGAACACCUGCGGUGUAGACGGCUUUCUGGACCAUUGCUGACGCUGAGACACGAAAGCGUGGGUAGCAAACAGG
rnacentral:rRNA from 1 species